GACGAACGCUGGCGGCGUGCCUAAUACAUGCAAGUAGGACGCAGUUGCGAACGGGUGAGUAACGCGUAGGUAACUACCUAUUAGAGGGGGGUAACUCUUGGAAACGAUAGCUAAUACCGCAUACUAGUAGAUGGACCUGCGUUGUAUUAGCUAGUAGGUAGGGUAAUGGCCUACCUAGGCAACGAUACAUAGCCGACCCGGGAGGGGGAUCGGCCACACCGGGACUGAGAAACGGCCCAGACUUCUACGGGAGGCAGCAGUAGGGGAUCGUCGGGAAUGGGGGGAAACCUGACCCGGCAACGCCGCGUGAGUGAAGAAGGUUUUCGGAUCGUAAAGCUCUGUUGUUAAGGAAGCGGUACUUAACCAGAAAGGGACGGCUAACUACGUGCCAGCAGCCGCGGUAAUUC
rnacentral:rRNA from 1 species